rnacentral:rRNA from 1 species
CAAGAGCGUAUGUAAAAGUUGUUGCAGUUAAAAAGCUCGUAGUUGAACCUUGGGUUUGGUUGGCCGGUCCGCUUUUUUGCGAGUACUGGAUUCAACCGAGCCUUUCCUUCUGGCUAACCAGUCGUUUCGGCGGCUGGCGAACCAGGAUUUUUACUUUGAGAAAAUUAGAGUGUUCAAAGCAGGCAUUAGCUUGAAUAUAUUAGCAUGGAAUAAUAGAAUAGGAUGUUAUGGUUCUAUUUUGUUGGUUUCUAGGACCAUCGUAAUGAUUAAUAGGGACGGUCGGGGGCAUCAGUAUUCAGUUGUCAGAGGUGAAAUUCUUGGAUUUACUGAAGACUAACUACUGCGAAAGCAUUUGCCAAGGACGUUUUCAUUAA